rnacentral:rRNA from 1 species
UCCUACGGGAGGCAGCAGUGGGGAAUAUUGGACAAUGGGGGCAACCCUGAUCCAGCCAUGCCGCGUGUGUGAAGAAGGCCUUCGGGUUGUAAAGCACUUUUGUUGGGGAAGAAACCGGCCGGGUUAAUACCCUGGUUGAAUGACGGUACCCAAAGAAUAAGCACCGGCUAACUUCGUGCCAGCAGCCGCGGUAAUACGAAGGGUGCAAGCGUUACUCGGAAUUACUGGGCUUAAGUCUGCUGUGAAAGCCCUGGGCUCAACCUGGGAACUGCAGUGGAUACUGGCGAGCUAGAGUGUGUCAGAGGAUGGUGGAAUUCCCGGUGUAGCGGUGAAAUGCGUAGAGAUCGGGAGGAACACCAGUGGCGAAGGCGGCCAUCUGGGACAACACUGACGCUGAGGCACGAAAGCGUGGGGAGCAAACAGGAUUAGAUACCCUGGUAGUCCACGCCCUAAACGAUGCGAACUGGACGUUGGGCACACUUAGGUGCUCAGUGUCGAAGCUAACGCGUUAAGUUCGCCGCCUGGGGAGUACGGUCGCAAGACUGAAACUCAAAGGAAUUGACGG